CGCGUCCUUUUAACUAAUAAGUCGCGUCUUCCGUGGAUCCACCAAAAGCUGUUCAUUUGCUAUUGACAAAUACAUCGCUUCUUUGUCGCCUCACCCAUUUAUGUAAGUCUUCCGAUCCGACGGAUGAUAAGAGAGCGAUUGGGAAAAUAAACGGCGAAAACCUUCAGUUGAUUAUGCAGCGACCAAACGUUGGAGUAAAACGUCACGCCAGCUGCCAGUCGUCAGCGCAAGAACGACUGUUAUUAUCGUGUUACUCGUGAUAACCUUUCUGGUCGUCAUCACUACAACCAGUACAGAUGCUUCCAACUACUUUGACAUCCAAGGACCUAAUUUCUCGCAUGAACCGCCAUCGUGCAUUGAAUUCACCAACAAUGCUGGCAGCAUUGCCGAUUGCAUAGCGCAUGAUAAUCCACCGGUGAAUGUCGAAUGGCUAGACAAGGACAAUAAUCCCAUCACCUUGAUAUCAAAGGUCCGUCAUAUGCUCGCCAACGGUUCACUCUAUUUCUCUCCCUUCGAAGCGGAAGAGUUUCGUCAAGAUGUUCAUUAGUCCGUCUAUCAUUGUGUGGCCAGCAAUGCUGUGGGUACAAUUGUUUCUUGUGACGUUGUGAUCAAAGC